GCCCGACCCACGUGGGCUGACAGUAGGGCGGCGGCGCUUCCUCCCAAGAAGAAGGGAGAACAGAUGUUGGGCAGGUAUUAGCUAACCUCUCUGUGCCUUCAUCUCCCCACUUGUGGAAUGACUGCACCUGCGUUGUCGUGGUCGAACCUGCAAACAAUCCACGAGGAAGCCGGUCACAAAGGACCACGGGUUACCUGAUUCCAUUUGCGUGAGAUGUCCAGAAUGGCAAAGUUAUAGAGACAGAAGGCUGGAAGGCAGGGGCAAUGGUGCACCAUCUUGCAGCAUAGCAUCAGGGCAGCAGAAAGUGAUGGCGGAGCAACAAGAUGGAAGGAGCCCGGGUUCCUGACACCGUGACUGUUUCAUGAGCGGCAAAUUGUUAUUUUGUUUCAGCUGCUGUAAUUUCAGGUUUCUGUAAGAGCAGAACCUACAUCUUAAUUAAUACAUCCACCCAUCACCUAGUCCCCUUCUUCCUUAUUACAGGAACCCCAAAAUUAUUCAGGUCUCAACUCUUAACAAAGGUGAUGUACCCCUAGCCAGAGGUAAAUCCUGAUUAUUAUAAGCCAAACAGGGCAACUCCAUUCCUCUUGCCAGUGAUUGGUUUGGGCCUGGACAUGACGCAAUUCUAGGCCAUGAAACGUGCAGAAAGUUCUGCUGGGAGAGUUCUGUGAAAUAUUUCCUUGCUCUAAAAUAGAGAUCCAAAGGAGACAGCCUCUUCUAUAAAGUACCAGGCAUAGUGCUAGUUCCAUCUUCUGGUAGAUGUUGCUGUAUCUGGAUGCGAUGCCUGAAAGGAUGGCAGCCAUUUUGAAACCAGGAGGAGAGCUAGUCUGUAGAUGGUAGGAACCUGAUGGCAGGGUUGAGCCACUGAAUUAAGCGAGCCUGGAGCCACUCCACCUCUAGACUUCCAGUAUGUGAG
rnacentral:lncRNA from 1 species